rnacentral:rRNA from 1 species
GAACAAACGCUGGCGGCGUGCCUAAUACAUGCAAGUCGAACGGGGAAAGCUUUCUGGUGAGUACUAGUGGCGCACGGGUGAGGAACGCGUGGAUAAUCUGCCUUAGAGUGGGGGAUAACUAGUCGAAAGAUUAGCUAAUACCGCAUAAGACCACGAGAGCUGCGGCUUUUGAGGUCAAAGGUUUUUCGCUCUAAGAUGAGUCCGCGUAAGAUUAGCUAGUUGGUGAGGUAACGGCUCACCAAGGCGACGAUCUUUAACUGGUCUGAGAGGAUGAUCAGUCACACUGGAACUGAGACACGGUCCAGACUCCUACGGGAGGCAGCAGUAGGGAAUAUUGCACAAUGGAGGAAACUCUGAUGCAGCGACGCCGCGUGAGUGAUGAAGGCCUUCGGGUCGUAAAGCUCUGUCGCAGGGGAAUAACACAAUGAAGGUACCCUGUAAGAAAGGAUCGGCUAACUUCGUG